ensembl:lncRNA
CCUCUGGGUGCCAGACGUGCACAGGCCCGGCCUUCCCGAGCUCCAGCCGACGGCCCAGAUGGCUGGGGGCUGCUGGGAUCCCAGCUCCCCCCUGCCUCAGGUCUGGGCUGUGCUGCUACUUACGGGGCAGUGCGCUUUUCGACCCUCCGUUGUGCCUUCUGGAGUUUUUUCAUCUCCAUCUCCACCUCCUCCUUCAGUGCCUGGAGAAGGAAAGGGUCCGGUCAAGAGCCCGUCCUGUGUCUGCUGGCAGGGGCCUUUCCCCGAUCAAUGUGCUGCUCUCCAUUCUCUCCCUCCCACCCUGCGUACCUCACGGACUUUGGUCUGCUCUCGGAGAACAGCUGCCAGCUCCGCAGACCUCUUCUUACACUGCAAGGCAAUGGGGACCAGUUGCAUGGAUGCAGGGUGGGAAAGGGUGUUUGCAGCCCAUUGCCAGGGCACAGCAAGGCCAGGCCGGAGCAGGACAGCAAGCCCUGCGGCGCCCUGGCUGCAUGGCCCAGCAGCUCUGCCCUGCGGGGUUUCUGCAGGUGGGUCACACACCUCCAUGAGCUCCUGCAGCAGUGCGCCUGACUCAGCGUUGUCUUCCAUCAGUUUUUCACAGGUGUUCUUCUCUGCCAUGGCUUCACCUGCGCGCACAACAGGAGGC